UCAUAUAUUGUGGAUGGCAAUUCAUUAUUCUCGGGAAGAAUUUUCUUGACAAUUUUCAACAUCCCCUGAAAUGCCUUAUCGGACACACCAUUUUUGGCCUUCCAUUGCAUACAUUCUAGUGUAGUACCUAGUUUUUUAUGGCUCUGCUAGCAAUGUACAAUAAUUUUUGGUGAUCAUCUAUCAUGCGCUGCAACUUUGCUGCUUCCUUCUCAGUUUCGCAAUUUCUAUGUGUAUCCCGUAGCACCUGACCAAGGUCAUCAGUAGGGCCAUCUUCUGCAAACUCAUCUUCAUCAGCCUCACCCAUUGUAGUAUCUGCAAAAGCUUGGCCUGCAGCCCAAUCCGGAAUGUUGUCAUCAUCCUCCUCCUCUUCGCCAUCUUCC
rnacentral:lncRNA from 1 species